AAUCUUGAAAAAGAACAAAGUUGGAGGACUCACACUUCCCAUUUUCAAACCUUACUACACAACUACAGUAAUCAAGAUAGUAUGGUACUGGCAUAAGGUCAGACACAUAGAUCAAUGAAAUAAAAUUGAGAGUCCAGCAAUAAACUCUUAUAUUUACAUUCAAAUGAUUUUCGACAAGGCUGUCAAGAACAUUCAAUGGGAAAAGAAUAGUCUUUUUAACAAAUGGUGAUGGCAUAACUGGAUAAUCACAUGUAGAAGAAUGAAAAUUGGCCAUUCU